CCCCUGUAUCUGGGGUUGUAAAGGGACGAAAGGGUUGUAGCAGUGCUAAAGAGACGAGAUCAAGCAAUCGGGAGACAGUUUUCUUGGUUGUGACACAUCAGGGACAUUUUAUUGCUGGCAAAACCUCUCAAAAAGCAAGAGCACUAGCUGCAGUGGAGCCACUGGUUAUGGGACAUCCAACUGCUUGGCAUUUCUUGAUGAUUGAAUUGGCGUGCCUGUUAUUAACGAGAUGAAUGGCGCUGUGAUCUCUAGCUGCAGCGUUCUUUGAAAAGUCCUUUGGUUGAGGGAACAGUCGUGUCCAUAGCAGUCAAGAGCCUCCGAGCACCUGCAGCUGCGAUGCCAGUAUUGUAGAGUCCCACCCGGAAUGCCAUGUUGGGAGUAGCAGUCUGUCGUCCAGGUCCAUUUUGAGUUCAGGAUGACCGUCACACUCAGGAUGCGAUCUUUGAUGGUCAAGUACAGCCUGUGCUCCUAGCUGUACAGCUGACUGGAUGUUCACGAAACGGUAUCCUCCUUGGUGAUU